AAGAAAUUAGUUUUAAAUAUAAAACAUUAACUUGUCAAGUUAAAAAUAUUAUAAUAAUAUUUCUUA
rnacentral:tRNA from 1 species